rnacentral:rRNA from 1 species
AAUUUUCCGCAAUGGGCGCAAGCGUGACGGAGCGACGCCGCGCGAGUGAAGAAGGCCUUCGGGUUGUAAAGCUCUGUCUUCAUGGACGAAAGCUGUUCAGAGGCAAUGCUGGGAAGUUGACGGUACCUUAGUAGGAAGCCCCGGCCAACUACGUGCCAGCAGCCGCGGUAAUACGUAGGGGGCGAGCGUUAUCCGGAAUUAUUGGGCGUAAAGGGUGCGUAGGCGGCCAUUUAAGUCAGAUGUGAAAGGCGACGGCUUAACCGUAGAUAGCAUUUGAAACUAAAAGGCUUGAGUGCAGGAGAGGAGAGUAGGAUUCCUAGUGUAGCGGUGAAAUGCGUAGAUAUUAGGAGGAACACCAGUGGCGAAGGCGACUCUCUGAACUGCAACUGACGCUGAGGCACGAAAGCGUGGGGAGCGAACA